GGUAGUCUCGCACAGAUGCAUAUCAAUAAGCGGAGGAAAAGAAACUAACAAGGAUUCCCCUAGUAACAGGCGAGUGAAGCGGGAAGAGCUCAAAUUUGAAAUCUUCAAGGUUUUACCUUGACGAAUUGUAGUUUAAAGAAGUGUUUUCUGUUGAAGUUUUGGUAAAAGUUCUUUGGAAUAGGACAUCAUAGAGGGUGAGAAUCCCGUAUAUUGACCAUUUACUUUUCAGCUGUGUGAUACACUUUCAAAGAGUCGGAUUGUUUGGGAAUGCAGUCCAAAAUGGGUGGUAAAUUUCAUCUAAAGCUAAAUAUAUGGCGAGAGACCGAUAGCGAACAAGUACCGUGAGGGAAAGAUGAAAAGAACUUUGAAAAGAGAGUUAAACAGUACGUGAAAUUGUCAAAAGGGAAGCGUUUGACACCAGUGUUGUUUUUCUGAAAAUCAAUUAAAGAACUGUUUAUGCUAAGCUGUUUAGACUUUAUCAGCUAACUGUUUAGUUUUGAGCUUUUCUUUAAUGCACUUUUCAGUUAACAAGUCAACAUCAAUUUCUUUUGCUGUAAAAAAGCUUGAGGAAGGUGGCUUGAGAUUCGUCUUAAGUGUUUAUAGCCUCUUGCCUAUGCAGUCGGAGAGAUUGAGGUCUGCAGCGUAGAUCCUUCGGGGCUAAAUGCAUUUGUGCUAAGUUAUAACAUUUUAUAGACAACUUGUUGACUAUGAUUUGUCUUGUAGCUUACUCGCUUAUGUUAUUUUACCUACGCUUAGGAUGUUGACAGCAGUAUAGACUGU
rnacentral:rRNA from 1 species